UGACUGAUUGAUUGGAAAGCGGCGGACGGGUGAGUAACGCGUGGGAACGUACCCUUCUCUGCGGAAUAGCCACUGGAAACGGUGAGUAAUACCGCAUACGCCCUUCGGGGGAAAGAUUUAUCGGAGAAGGAUCGGCCCGCGUUGGAUUAGGUAGUUGGUGGGGUAAUGGCCUACCAAGCCUACGAUCCAUAGCUGGUUUGAGAGGAUGAUCAGCCACACUGGGACUGAGACACGGCCCAGACUCCUACGGGAGGCAGCAGUGGGGAAUCUUAGACAAUGGGCGCAAGCCUGAUCUAGCCAUGCCGCGUGAGUGAAGAAGGCCUUAGGGUCGUAAAGCUCUUUCGCUGGGGAAGAUAAUGACUGUACCCAGUAAAGAAACCCCGGCUAACUCCGUGCCAUCAGCCGCGGUAAUACGGAGGGGGUUAGCGUUGUUCGGAAUUACUGGGCGUAAAGCGCGCGUAGGCGGAUCAGAAAGUUGGGGGUGAAAUCCCGGGGCUCAACCUCGGAACUGCCUCCAAAACUCCUGGUCUUGAGUUCGAGAGAGGUGAGUGGAAUUCCGAGUG
rnacentral:rRNA from 1 species